ACGGAAGGCAGCAGUGGGGAUUACUGGACAAUGGGGGAAACCCUGAUCCAGCGACGCCGCGUGAGUGAAGAAGUAUUUCGGUAUGUAAAGCUCUAUCAGCAAGGAAGAAAAUGACGGUACUUGACUAAGAAGCUCCGGCUAAAUACGUGCCAGCAGCCGCGGUAAUACGUAUGGAGCAAGCGUUAUCCGGAUUUACUGGGUGUAAAGGGAGCGUAGACGGCAAAGCAAGUCCGAAGUGAAAUCCCGGGGCUCAACCCCGGAACUGCUUUGGAAACUGUUUAGCUAGAGUGCAGGAGAGGUAAGCGGAAUUCCUAGUGUAGCGGUGAAAUGCGUAGAUAUUAGGAGGAACACCAGUGGCGAAGGCGGCUUACUGGACUGUAACUGACGUUGAGGCUCGAAAGCGUGGGGAGCAAACAGGAUUAGAUACCCUGGUA
rnacentral:rRNA from 1 species